rnacentral:rRNA from 1 species
UAUAGAAGCCCUCGAUCUCGUCUUCAUCGUAGCUGGAGAUUGGAGCGUAGGCGACGAAGACUGUCAGGGCCAGCAUUGAUUUACAUUUCCUCAGUCGCAAACGUCCGAUUCGGAUCGUUAGUUGUUCGGAAGAACCGAUGAUCAUGGCCACGUUCGUGUUGACGAGGACACUAACUCCUCUAUAAUCGCAGAUCCCAAGGAACAGUUUUUCUCUAGUAUCGAAGGUGUCGUUCAGCGGCCGGUGCCUUCUCGUCUCGGUCAGUCUGCUGACGUCGUACCUGAUUUUACUGUCCUGCACCAUCAGAUCCUCGAUGGCAGCCUUUGAUGCAAGCGCCCAUGCGUGCGUCACUUGAAUGCAGAGCUUUUCAUCGGAUAGAUGUGCAGGUUAGAAUCUAAAGAUACGCAAGCACACCCACGCACGCAUCCAUGAACAUACUCACGCGCUGACAGAAAGUAAGAAUCGUUCCAAUACUGCAGAAACAGGGAAUCCAUCCCCUGAAUCCACCCUCCUCUCAGGGCAGGUAUAAUUUCGCGUUUGGUCCGCGAUUGGCCACCUAUCCGCCACCUGGGGACGCGCAACGUAGCCUCGUGACUAACCGGCAGUAAUCCCUCUAUGCGGCAGAUCCGUGGAACGCGGACCGAGGAUUGUAACUUGUACGCGAGUCAAGGGGUGGAAAACCCCAUGGCGAAAUGAAAUAAAGUUUGGUUAAUCGGCCGACAUGGGAUCCGCUUUUCGAAGCGGUGCAUCAUGGCCUGUCUCGUCUGCUUGCAGAUGGGCAGCGGUAGAGCGUACAGGUUCCGACUCGAAGGAUGGUGAACUAUGCCUGAGCAGGACAAAGUCGGAGGAAACUCUGAUGAAAGUCCAUAUCGGUUCUGACGUGCAAAUGGAUCGGUAGACUUGGGAACAGGGGCGAAAGAGACCAUCUAGUAGCUGAUUCCCUCCGAAGUUUCCCCCAGGAUAGCUGGAGUUCUUUGCGGUUAUAUCCGGAAAAGUGAAUGAUUAGAGAACUUGGGGUCGGAACGACCUCAACCCAUCCUCAAACUUUCAAUGGGUAUGUUGUCUCGGUAUCUUCGUUGAACUGUUGACACAAACGCGAGCUCCAAGUGGGCAAUAUUUGGUAAGCAGAGCUGGCGCUAUGGGAUGAACCAAACGUUGGGUUAAGGUGCCUAACUUAUCGCUCAUGAUACCCUGUAAAAUGAGUUGGUUGAUAUAGACAGCAGGACGGUGGCCGUGGAAGUCGUACUAGCUAAAGAGUGUGAAAAUUCACCUGCCGAAUCAACUAGCCCUGAAAAUGGAUGGCGCUCGAGCGAGAGACCUAUACCCAGCCGUUGCUGGCUUUUGCGUUGUCUAGCGCCUGACCGCAACGAGAAGGAGAGUCGUGGCGGUUGCGUCGAAGGCUUUGGGCGUAGGCUCAGCUGGAGCUUCCGUCACUGCAGAUCUCGGUGGUGGUAGCAAAUAUUUAGAUUCGAUCCUUGGAGACUGAAGUGGAGAAGGGUUCCACGUGAACAGUACUUGAAUGUGGGUUAGUCGAUCGGCGAUUGCGGCUUUCUAAGUCGCUUGCCCGAUAACGCAUUCGAACUUGGUUACGUCGCUCAGGAACUGAGCCAGAGUCCUUUAGUUAAGGAGCGGACUCCCUGGAACUCGUGUUCUCUGGGCGACCCACGAGAAACCAAGGGAGGCUUUUAAUCUGUGCUGCAUCGUACCAAUAUCCGCAUCACGUCUCCAAGGUGAGCAGCCUCUAGUCGAUAGAAUAAUGUAGAUGAAGGAAGUCGCCAAAUUGGGUCCGUAACUUCGGGAAAAGGGAACGUUUUCAGAUGUGUGCUCUGUCUUCGGGCUCAGUAUCCUGACCGACAAUCAAAACGGUUGAAAUGGAACUGGUACGGACUCGGGGAAUCCGACUGUCUAAUUAAAACAGAGGAGACAGAUGGUCCUUGCAGACGUUUACUGCCUCUGAUUUCUGCCCAGUGCUCUAAAUGUUAAAUCGUAGUAAUUCGAGUAAGCGCGGAUGAACGGCGGGAGUAACUAUGACUCUCUUAAGGUAGCCAAAUGCCUCGUCAGCUAACUACUGACGCGCGUGAUUGGAUUAACGAGAUUCCCACUGGGUCUAACUACUAUCUAGCGAAACAACAGCCAAGUGAACGGGCUUGGCAAAGAUAGCGGGAAAGAAGACCCUGUUGAGCUCGACUCUAGUUUGACAUUGUGAAGAGAGGUGUAGCAUAGGUGGGAGACUUCGGUCGCCAAUGAAAUACCACCACUCUCAUCGAUUCUUUACUUAUUCGGUGAGAGGAAAAUUGAGCUUCUGCUCCUUUUUCUUCGUCUUAAGCAAAGCCACCUGGUGGCCUCGCGACUCUCGCAGACAGUGACAGGCGGGAAGUUUGGCUGGGGCGGUACAUCUGUCAAAUCGUAACCUAGGUGUCCUAAGGCUAGCUCAGAGAGGACGGAAACCUCUCGCAGAGCAAAAAAGGCAAAAAAGCAAAAGCUCGCUUGAAACCAAGCAUAACAGAAACAAAUGACAACGUAUUCCUGAUCCGGUAGAUUUUUUCGUAUUGCCGAAUAGGCUUCAUAGUUUCUAUGGAGGUCAUGUCAUUGUGUCAAUUCAUCUUUUUUGGCAAUAUCAUAGUAAUAUCUAUGGUGCGACAGAACGUCUGGCGCGCCCCAUGAAAAGAACCAGCAUGAUCUUCUUGAAAAUCGCUUCGC